rnacentral:rRNA from 1 species
GACGAACGCUGGCGGCGUGCUUAACACAUGCAAGUCGAACGGACAGGCCCUGCUUUUGUUCGGUGCUCGUUUGCCGAACGUGUGAGUAACACGUGUGUAACCUGCCCUUUUCUUUGUGAUAUCUUCUGGAAACUGGGGCUCUUACCCGAUAGGAGCUCCUGCUGCUUGUUGGUCGUUGGUAAGUUUCGGCGGUUGUGGAUGGACUCGCUGCUUAUCCGCUUGUUUGUUGAGUAGUGGCUUACCAAGGUUUUGACGGGUAGCCGACCUGAGAGGGUGACCAGGAACAAGGGGACUGAGAUAAGGAGCAGAAUGCAACGGGAGGCAGCAGAGGGGAAUAGUGCAGAAUGGGGGGAAGAGAGAUGCAGAAACGCCGGGAGCGGGAAGAAGGCCUACGGGGUAUAAACAGAUGUGGAAGGAGAAGAAGAGGGAGUGACGGUAAUGGGUAAAGAAGCAACGGCUAACUACGUG